rnacentral:rRNA from 1 species
UGCGUAGGUGGUUUAAUAAGUUAAAAGUGUAAUACCAGGGCUUAACUCGGGUGCUGCUUCUAAAACUGUUAGGCUUGAGUGUAGUAGAGGAAAGCGGAAUUCAAUGUGUAGCGGUGGAAUGCGUAGAUAUAUUGAAGAACAUUAGUGGCGAAGGCGGCUUUCUGGACUAUAACUGACACUGAGGCACGAAAGCGUGGGGAGCAAACA